UACGUAGGGUGCGAGCGUUGUCCGGAAUAACUGGGCGUAAAGAGCUCGUAGGUGGUUUGUCGCGUUGUUCGUGAAAACUCACAGCUCAACUGUGGGCGUGCGGGCGAUACGGGCAGACUGGAGUACUGCAGGGGAGACUGGAAUUCCUGGUGUAGCGGUGGAAUGCGCAGAUAUCAGGAGGAACACCGGUGGCGAAGGCGGGUCUCUGGGCAGUAACUGACGCUGAGGAGCGAAAGCGUGGGGAGCGAACAGG
rnacentral:rRNA from 1 species